CCCUUAGAUGUUCUGGGCGGCCCGCGCACUACAUUGGCACUGGCAACAAGAUCCUAGAUCUGGUAUUUCGGGGUAUUCUACCAACUGGUGUCGUGACUGGGAUUAACCCCUGCAAUUGUUGGUUAUGAACGAGGAAUUCCUUGUAAUCACGGUUUAUCAACCCGUGUUGAAUGCGUCCCUGCCCUUUGUACACACCGCCCGUCGCUCCUACCGAUGAAUCGUCCGGUGAAGUUCAUGGAGUCGCGGCUGCUCCAGCUGUUUUCGAAGUGAAAUGGACCUCNUNAUUUAUNGGAAGGAGAANUCGUANCA
rnacentral:rRNA from 1 species